CCUCCCCCCCUCCUCGAUACACACGUAUAAAAUCCGCAACCCUCCCAGGUUAAUUAAUUAAAGAAAAUUAAUUUCCGGAUUCCCUUUUUUCUUCCGCUUCACGAUUUCUCUCCGGUUUUCUCCUUCGUCUAAUCUCUCGCGGGGCGGAGAAUCAGGGCGGAGUUCUGGGCGCGCGGCGGAGCCUUUCCUCGGAUUUUCUCUCCGUGCUUCUUCCCGGCCGCGGCCGCAGUCGGCAUCGCAAGUGCUUGGCAAAUAGCAAGGCGCUAUGAAAUUCCGCAAAGGAGGCAAGGUGGAGGUACUGCAGAAGGCGGAGGCACCUUUCGGUUCCUGGAGGCCUGCCGAGAUCCUUUCUGGCAAUGGGCACACCUAUCUCGUAAGCUAUGAUCCAUGUCUGCUUGACGGUAGUCUGGCCAUUGAAAGGGUUCCAAGAAAGGUGAUAAGGCCUUCUCCCCCGUCCCCAGAUGGUCUGGUGUGCUGGGUCCCAGGCGACAUCCUUGAAGUCUUCGACAGCUAUUCAUGGAAGGUUGUGGAAGUCGUGAGAUUGCUUGGUCAUGAGUACUAUCUUGUCAGGCUCCUCGGAUCCUCCCUAGAAUUGAGGGUAGAUGCAUCCAACCUUAGGACAAGGCAGCUUUGGCAAGAUGGCAAAUGGGUUGCUCUUCCAAAGGAUUCUGCAAGAUGUGCUGCUGGUUCACACAGGAGUCGGACAAAAGGUGGAAAUUCAGGGGGCAGUCAUCUUCUAUUAAAGAACAAGAAUGUGUUUGAAGACAAUAUGUCUCGAGGCAUGAAGAGGAAAACCUCUGCUGCAUCAGCUUUCCCUAUGCAGCGCAGUGAAGUUACUAAGAGAUUUCAGACUUCUCGCAGAGAUGGAAGACGCCAACAUCUUGGUCCUGGAGAUUCUCUUCAUUUGAUGGAUAAGGGCCGAAGUUGGAGGCUUGUAAAGCAUCCUUCGGUAGGUCUGUGUUGAUGGAGGAGUUUGUCACAUGGUUUACUUGGUGACCAAUGUGGCAAUUUCCAUCAAACUUUGGUUCGUAUCCAAUUUUUUUUUGUUUGUUUCAUAUCUUCCUUUUUUAGCUUCUUUUAGGGCUCUACUAGCUUUUGCAAGGAUACUGGACAGGAAUUUGGCUUGGCAUUAAUGAACAAAUAAGUUAAUGGUAAUAUUCAACAUGCAGCAUGUUUGCAAAAAAGAAUGCUUAUGUCAGUACAGAGAACUACUACAGCAUUUAUUGGAUAUUCUGACCAUGUCCUUUCCUGAACAAGGAAAACAAAGGAGCAGUUAAGUGUGCAAUAAUCUGGAUAUGUUGCUCUGUUGGUAAAGGAAGGAAUUGGAUAUCAUAAUUGCACAUUGCGAUCUAUGUGAUUAAUCGCUAAAUUAAUAUAAAAAUUGUGUUGUUUAAGUUGAAAAGCUCAAUAAAUAUAGGUAUGGAUUAUAUGACGAUAAAAGUAGAUAGUAGUCAUAGCACAUGUGAUUUGUUAAAGUAGUUUUCAGAGAUUUAUCUUGGCGACAGUACUCUUCAAAUGCUAGGUCUCGGAAGCUCAUCUAUUGAAGUUAAUAGCUGGUUUUUGCUUUGCAAGAAUUCAUGUCAGCUAAAUGAUUAUUUGGCGCAUUCUGGGGAAUGAGGGAGACUAUCCCUAGGUAGACUUAUUGGUUUUUGGCAUGUACAGUGAGCUACACCUGCAACUUACUUGAUGUGGAUAUUGAGAGGUAAGUUAGUAGGUUAGUAGGCAUAUUGUUUAUCCUCAGGCUCAGCAGUUCUACGGUAGGUUUGUUAAUUCUCAUACAUGAUAGAUAUUGCAAGUGUAAAGUAUUUCUCUGAAAAGUGCUGACUCAGAUGUGUUACUACAUGAUCUUCUUGAUAUCCUUAUAAGGAGUUAUGGAGACUACCUUUGUAUUUCAUAAAUGUAAAAGUACUUACCUGAAAAGUAAUGCUUAUUUUGGCCUUCUUACUGAUAUGUGGAUGAGGUUGGGUCUACAGAUUUACCUACAUGUCCCUUGUAGUUUCUCAGUAUAAAAUCCUAGUCUGUGUCCUACUGUGCCACUUUUGUAUUAAAAAACAUUGGGAUGUUCUUAUGACUUCUAUGUGUAAUGGCAACACUUGUUAAUCCUCCUACAGUCAUGUUGUCCAUACUACAGAUAUUCUUUUUUCGUCGCUCUAUGUAAUUAUAUUUGUGCGUGGUGUUGUGACACUACUGGUUCAGUCUAUGAUAUGAAGCACACCAUUCAGUGUACCUGCCCCAGAGCAACUGGCACAGUUGUUUAUGUUUCACACUUGUCUGAACAUUUAAUGAGUUGGAUGAAUUUUUGUGAAAUAAAUCUGUAAUUUGUAGUAUGCUUGGCCAGUAACAAUUCAAAAUAUUUAAUGAACAUUUAAUGAGUUGGAUGUGUUUUUGUGAAAUGAAUCUGUAAUUUGCAGUAUGCUUGGCUAGAAUAAUGCAAAAUAUUCAACAGAAACAUGUAUAUAUAUUCCAACCAUCACGAUACGAAGCUUUUUAGAUAUUAAGGUUGUUACAUAUUGGAAAUGCAGUAUGCUGAGAAGGCUAUGUGCGAAAACUUUUCCACUCAUAUUUACAAACUCUCAUUUAUACGGCGCAAAACAUUUCUUGAUGUAUAACUUCUGUAUGAAGCAGCAUGCAGAUAGCACCUUGUUGUUAGCCAGGAUUUUUUUCCCUGACAGCUAUAUUUGAUUAUAACAAAAAAAACCUUUGAAGUUUGGGUCGUGGAGACUAUUUCUGACUGUUUUUUGUAUGAAAAAAGUUGAUGUACUAGCCAACUAGGCCUGACAUGAUUCACCACAGCAAUUCUUUUUCAGAUUGGUAAGACCUCAGUUUUUGUACGAAAAGAGAAGCUGCAGUAUCUUUAUUUUGUAAUUGAUGACAAUGAGUUCAGAAAACAUACUGCAGAAAGGGAAACUGGAGAGUGCUUGCUUCUGGUCUGUUGGCUAAACCAAUCUAAACUAACCAAGACUGACCUUUUUCAUUUUAAGAACUUUCUAGUUUUUAUUUGCUCGCCUUGAUUAUAAGCCAUUUGGUAUGGAACAUUAGCUUAGAGGCACAGACCAGAUGAUCUCAAUCUGGUGCCAAAACGCUACUUGGCUGUUCUCAUUUACUGACUUGUAGUUUUCACCUAGGCGACAUCGUAAGUUAGGAGGCAAUAGAAUAUUUAUUUAAUACAUUUCAUUUUCGUAGUGAAAGAUUUAUUUAUUCUGUCUACAAGACAUACUAAGGUCAUAAUGGUAUAAGACAAGGUCUGGGCAAAUUUAUGUACUCUUAUCUGUAACAAAAAAAUGUUAGGACUAAAAAAAUUCUGAUGUUCUUUAUAAUAUGAUAGUAACUUCUCUUUUUGAAUAAUGGUAUCCUUGUUGCUUUCCGUUACAACUUAAUUAUGCACACGAUGUUCACUGAGAAAACAAAACUAACAGAUGAUUGAGGUGCUGUGGUUCCCUUACAAUUGUGCCAGCUAGAACUAUUUGGGGAUCAUCUAUAGAUAAAAGUGCUCUUGGAUGCAAUGCCAUAGUUGAUCUCAGGAGAUCUUAUCAGGAUAUUGACGUGCAAAGAAAAUGGGCACUUUCUGUAUGUUUUCAGCCGACAUGUGGAUAUAACAGGCUUGAUGCUGAUCCAUUGCAGCUUUAUUUUUAUGGCACACUCUGCUGUGUUUUGGUAACCCAUUCACAGGCUUUCUAGCAAAGGUAUGUACUAUUGUUCAGGUGGUCUUUUAUUCUGAUGGCUCAACUGAUUGAGUCACAGCUCCGCUUUCUCAGGUCAGCCCAAAGGCUUGGAGUGAGCUAUUCAGUAUUUUGUUUUUUUACUUAAUCUUCGAUGGUGUUUAUACUAUUCUAUGAAUAGCUUCUGGAAUUGAGGUUUGAUAUUUUAAAAUGUAUGUAUUGGUAAUGUUUGAGUAAUAAUAGUAAUAAUAGGAAUCUUUGUCAUUGGUCUGAGUACCCUGAGUAAGAAAGAAAGCUUUUCCUGUCUAAUCCGUGAUCUGUCCCUUUUGGUGUGGAGCAUAUUCCUCCACUUGUUUCAUGAAUUGGAAUCCUGGUACAUAGCAUUGAUUAUUUCUUUCCUAGAAACGAGUUGAAAUGAAAUGAGUAGUUAGAAUCACUAUUUCAGAUGAUCCAUCUCUGCUUUUCCUGGGGAUGCGUGUUUUGUAUCCUUGCGGCUGGAUCUAUUAUUCUGAUGCAUUAGCACAGCACCUGGAGCGGUGCUGUUCAUCAUGCAACGCUUCUUUUUCAGUGGCUCAGCCAUCGGGGAUGUCAAUGACACAGAAAAAGCAGCUGCAUACAGAUCCAAGGAGACCCGCCAUGUGGCUGGGGAGCACUAUGAUCUGAAUUUUGUGAAGUCAGCCAUCAGGCAUCUAUCAGUGUACGGUGAGGUUGUUUCUACCACGGUGCUUAUCCAUCUGAUGGUUCUCAUACUUGGAUGCUAUAGUAUCCAAGUCGUCCACAAGUUGAGAUAUGGCUGUUGAGGUUCAUGACUGAACGCACAUCCACACUUGCCCCUAAGCUUAAGCUGUAAUGUUGGACAUGGAGGAACAUUUCAGAUUUGGGUAUGACCCAAUUUGCCUGGUUGAUAUGAUGAUAUACGUGAGUACAUGACUUGCAUUUGUGCCCAUAAAUUUGUAAUCAUGGAUGAUGGCAAAUCUUUUUCUCUUUAGAAAAGCUGGCAUUGACACGGAGGGCUAGCCCUGGAUAACUUCAUAAAGGAGGCUAAAGCAUAAUAUAACAAAAGAAGGAAGGAAUGAUCGACACUGAGGGUUAGUACUAAAUUCAUGAUGAGGGCUUGCAUGUGUCAGGAAAUCUGUGAAGAUACUUUGGUGAUCAGCAUUAUGUAGUGUUAUAUGUAUGUAUCCAUACUCAAUGAAGAAAAGGGGAGAUCAGACACAGUAUGGUUUCUCUGGAUGCAGUGCAAAAGUCUUCUACUUAUCACAAAAUUGAUGAUUCUUAUUUGCUAUUAUGGGGUUUCUGCAGCCUGCCUGCGGGUAAGAUGUGGAAUUGUUAAGUAAGAUCACUGGCAUACUUGUCUUUUCUAUUGAUUUGACAUCUGUCCUUUUUUCACGCAUUUCACGUGAUUAAAUUCAAGCCUGUCCAUGAGAUUCUGAUUUCAGAUUGGCUCAUAGAUAGGAACAGGAAAAAAAAACUCAUGGAAAGAAGAUAGAUGCACUGGAUUGAUCCUUGUUCUAUUCAUUUACUGCUGAGGCCCAAGGAGUAACUAUAAGACCCCUUUGAAAUUCAGGAUUCUGAAACGUAGGAACAGAAAACCUUGUAUCCUAAACGAAAGCACACAACUUUGUACAAAUAGAUCUUUAGAUGUUCGACUGAAAUUAUACAAGAUUUUACCCCUCUUAGAAUUCCUCCAAAGUUCUAUGGACUUGGUGCUCCCUAGAUUAACCACAAGCUAAUUCUUUUUGAAGGGCCACACUCAGACUGAAAGGUGGACUAAAUGUAAUUACAAUAGGUGUUUAUAACUUGGUGAUGCUUAUUUAAUCAGUAAGUGCAUCUUCAACCGAA